rnacentral:misc_RNA from 1 species
GCCUUUUCGAGCCAAAACUGUGAAACACCUACGCGGGAAAAUCAGUCCAUUAGACCGAUUUCUGAUCCCGCUUCGAUGCGUUGGACAAUGCGACAAAACAAAGAGUUAGAGCGGCUCCUGUCGAAACAGGAACCGCUCUAAUCAACCAAUGUAUCG